rnacentral:rRNA from 1 species
GUCCUUCGGGAUGCCGGCGAGUGGCGGACGGGUGAGGAAUGCGUCGGAAUCUGCCUCUUUGUGGGGGAUAACGUAGGGAAACUUACGCUAAUACCGCAUACGACCUACGGGUGAAAGCCGGGGACCUUCGGGCCUGGCGCAGAGAGAUGAGCCGACGCCGGAUUAGCUAGUUGGCGGGGUAAAGGCCCACCAAGGCGACGAUCCGUAGCUGGUCUGAGAGGAUGAUCAGCCACACUGGAACUGAGACACGGUCCAGACUCCUACGGGAGGCAGCAGUGGGGAAUAUUGGACAAUGGGCGCAAGCCUGAUCCAGCCAUGCCGCGUGUGUGAAGAAGGCCUUCGGGUUGUAAAGCACUUUUGUUGGGGAAGAAAAGCCAUGGGUUAAUACCCUGUGGUUCUGACGGUACCCAAAGAAUAAGCACCGGCUAACUUCGUGCCAGCAGCCGCGGUAAUACGAAGGGUGCAAGCGUUACUCGGAAUUACUGGGCGUAAAGCGUGCGUAGGUGGUUUGUUAAGUCUGAUGUGAAAGCCCUGGGCUCAACCUGGGAAUGGCAUUGGAAACUGGCUGACUGGAGUGCGGUAGAGGGUAGUGGAAUUCCCGGUGUAGCAGUGAAAUGCGUAGAUAUCGGGAGGAACAUCCGUGGCGAAGGCGACUACCUGGACCAGCACUGACACUGAGGCACGAAAGCGUGGGGAGCAAACAGG